rnacentral:rRNA from 1 species
AGGGUUUGAUCAUGGCUCAGAACGUACGCUGGCGGCACGCCUAACACAUGCAAGUCGAACGAAGUAGCAAUACUUAGUGGCAGACGGGUGAGUAACAUGUAGGUAUCUGCCCUUUGGCCUGGAAUAACACGAGGAAACUUGUGCUAAUACCGGAUAAGUCUUUACGGAGAAAGCUUUAUGCACCAUUGGAUGAGCCUGCACUUGAUUAGUUUGUUGGUGGGGUAAUGGCCUACCAAGACUGUGAUCAAUAGCUGAUUUGAGAGGAUGAUCAGCCACAUUGGGACUGAGACACGGCCCAAACUCCUACGGGAGGCAGCAGUGGGGAAUCUUGCACAAUGGAGGAAACUCUGAUGCAGCGAUGCCGCGUGAGUGAAGAAGGCCUUUGGGUUGUAAAGCUCUUUCGUCGGGGAAGAAAAUGACUGUACCCGAAUAAGAAGGUCCGGCUAACUUCGUGCCAGCAGCCGCGGUAAUACGAAGGGACCUAGCGUAGUUCGGAAUUACUGGGCUUAAAGAGUUCGUAGGUGGUUGAAAAAGUUGGUGGUGAAAUCCCAGAGCUUAACUCUGGAACUGCCAUCAAAACUUUUCAGCUAGAGUAUGAUAGAGGAAAGCAGAAUUUCUAGUGUAGAGGUGAAAUUCGUAGAUAUUAGAAAGAAUACCAAUUGCGAAGGCAGCUUUCUGGAUCAUUACUGACACUGAGGAACGAAAGCAUGGGUAGCGAAGAGGAUUAGAUACCCUCGUAGUCCAUGCCGUAAACGAUGUGUGUUAGACGUUGGAAAUUUAUUUUCAGUGUCGCAGCGAAAGCGAUAAACACACCGCCUGGGGAGUACGACCGCAAGGUUAAAACUCAAAUGAAUUGACGGGGACCCGCACAAGUAGUGGAGCAUGUGGUUUAAUUCGAAGAUACGCGCAGAACCUUACCAACACUUGACAUGUUCGUCGCGACUCUAAGAGAUUAGAGUUUUCGGUUCGGCCGGACGAAACACAGGUGCUGCAUGGCUGUCGUCAGCUCGUGUCGUGAGAUGUUGGGUUAAGUCCCGCAACGAGCGCAACCCUCACUUUUAGUUGCCAUCAUUAAGUUGGGCACUCUGAAAGAACUGCCAGUGAUAAGCUGGAGGAAGGUGGGGAUGACGUCAAGUCCUCAUGGCCCUUACGUGUUGGGCUACACACGUGCUACAAUGGCAUCUACAACAGGAAGCAAAACGGCAACGUUAAGCAAAUCCCGAAAAGAUGCCUCAGUUCGGAUUGCACUCUGCAACUCGAGUGCAUGAAGCUGGAAUUACUAGUAAUCGUGGAUCAGCGUGCCACGGUGAAUGCGUUCCCGGGUCUUGUACACACCGCCCGUCACACCAUGGGAGUUGGUUCUACCUUAAGGCAAGGUUUUAAACCCUUGACCACGGUAUAGUCAGCGACUGGGGUGAAGUCGUAACAAGGUAACCGUA